CAUGGUUGAGUUAGAAAGAAAGGCUGCAUUGGGAAAGAUCUGGGAAUGAUGAGCGAGGAAGCAGAGAUUGCGCUCAUGUCUCAUCAUGCCUUGGAAGGAGCUGUUGAACUCGGUGGCUGCACUGCGCAUCUCAGAUCUUUAGAACGGAGAGGCUGAUGUCCCUGCCUAUCUGGAUGGGUCGUGGGUCAGCAGGGAGCCUCAUGGCCUGGCAAAUAGGGAAGAGGUCAGCGGAGUUACCCAAUAAGCCAUAAGAACAAAUCAAUCUAGACCGUUUGUGGUUCCAAAAGCUAGCAGGAACUUGCCGCACACUCCUUCUUAGGCGCGGUUGGGCAAUGGUCGGGAAUGAGGGCAGGGAACCUUGAAUUUUUCCUGUCCACAAGCAGCUGUAAGCCAAGAGUUAGCAGCUCCCGUGCCUUAACCUUGUGUCUUUUCUCAGCUCGAUUCAUCUUUGCGGGCAGGAGCUGCAUGACGUGGGAGCAGUUGCUCAAGAAGGGAGCCUCAUUGGCUUUCGGCUGGAGGAGGCCAUAGGGCUGGGAGUCAAGGUCUCUUGGGUCGAACAUGGAAUCCAGCACGCCACGGGGCUUAGGCAAAAAUCUCUUGAGGAAAAUGGAUGAGCACCGCAGGAGCCACGGGGUGAUCCUCAGAACAUCGCAGGAGUCCAGAGGAGGCAGAGUCUGAGCCUCUAUUUUGUGUGUCAACUUGACAAAAGCUAGAGUCAUUGGAGAGGAAGGAGC